UUACUAGUAAGCCAUUAAGCUUCGGUUUGGAUCGGUUUUCGGUUUUGGAUCGGUUUUGAACACCCCUAAUCACAGGCCAAAAACCAUUCCUAUUUGCUUUAUCACGUGGCCAGGUGACAGUCCAAACUACUUCCCCCCUUCAACUAAGCAUUAAAGAUUAGCUAAACCGAACACCCCAAACAAGAAAGAACUCAUGGCCCAUGCAUCUCUUCCCACUUUUGAGUAUAAUUUAGCAUCUGAAGCCAUUUUUAGCUACAAAUUUUAGAUCCUUUGUUGAAAAUCACCAUCUUAUCCGCACUUUAAUUCUUGCAAAUAUUAAUUAAUUUCAAGUAAUCGUCCAUGAAAGAUGGGAUGAAUUAGUAACUUAAACAAUAAGAUAAUUUAAUUACAUGUUAUAACAAGUUAAUAUACAUGAAUUUCUAUAAUUGUUUUUAAAACCUUAUCAGUGCAUAUAAGUUAACAUGCGGCCAUUUGAAGUAAAAGGAUCUGACGGCCUUAAUUAAAUGGCACACCUAAUCUUAAAGCACCAAUUUAUAGAUCAAACUCUUGGUAAUUACGUAUGUCGCAAAAGAGGAACCACAGUGAUUUUUACAAGAGGGAUGUGCAUUCCCGCAAAUAGUAAGCCACAUAAAUAUGGCGUUGGCUCUGUACUUUGUGGCCCUGUCAAAGGGCAUGAGCUCCAAAACGAUCAGAUCUGGCUCACACCGGCAAAUCCAAGAUCCAUCAGCUGGCUGUACUGACAUUACCCCAUCCCCAUAUUAAAUGACACUUGUCUGUUAAUAAACAGUUACCCUACCGACACUUAGAUGCAUUCAUCAGCCCACCUUAUAGAUUUAAUUUGAACAUUUGUUAAUUAUUUUACAAGGAAAACGUGAAGAGUACCGUUCCGUGUGGACCGUAUUCCUCUACCCACUUUUAUCACUUCACUAACUAAUUAAUUUGACCUCAAAAGAUAUUUCUAUUUUUUUCCAUGUCCAAUCGGCCAAUUUACUUUUGUUACUUGCUUCCCUUAGGUAAUUCACUACUUUGCUUAUCGAAAAGU
rnacentral:lncRNA from 1 species